rnacentral:rRNA from 1 species
GUGUCAGCAGCCGCGGUAAUACGUAGGCAGCGAGCGUUGUUCGGAGUUACUGGGCGUAAAGGGUGUGUAGGCGGUUCUUUAAGUUUGGUGUGAAAUCUCCCGGCUUAACCGGGAGGGUGCGCCGAAUACUGAAGGGCUAGAGUGCGGGAUGGGAGAGUGGAAUUCCUGGUGUAGCGGUGAAAUGCGUAGAUAUCAGGAGGAACACCGGUGGUGCAGACGGCUCUCUGGACCGUAACUGACGCUGAAACACGAAAGCGUGGGGAGCAAACAGGAUUAGAUACCCUGGUAGUCCACGCCCUAAACGAUGCAUAUUUGGUGUAGGCAGUUCAUUCUGUCUGUGCCGGAGCUAACGCGUUAAAUAUGCCGCCUGGGGAGUACAGUCGCAAGGCUGAA